rnacentral:rRNA from 1 species
UACGUAGGGGGCGAGCGUUGUCCGGAUUCAUUGGGCGUAAAGAGCUCGUAGGCGGCUUGGCAAGUCGGAUGUGAAAACUCCAGGCUCAACCUGGAGCCGCCAUUCGAUACUGCUAUGGCUAGAGUCCGGUAGGGGAGUGUGGAAUUCCCGGUGUAGCGGUGAAAUGCGCAGAUAUCGGGAGGAACACCUAUGGCGAAGGCAGCUCGCUGGGACGUUACUGACGCUGAGACGCGAAAGCGUGGGGAGCAAACAGG